CCUACGGGAGGCAGCAGUGAGGAAUAUUGGUCAAUGGGCUUACGCCUGAACCAGCCAAGUCGCGUGAGGGAAGACUGCCCUAUGGGUUGUAAACCUCUUUUGUCAGGGAGCAACGCCGGCUACGUGUAGCCGGACUGAGAGUACCUGAAGAAAAAGCAUCGGCUAACUCCGUGCCAGCAGCCGCGGUAAUACGUAGGUGGCAAGCGUUAUCCGGAUUUACUGGGUGUAAAGGGCGUGUAGGCGGGACUGCAAGUCAGAUGUGAAAACCAUGGGCUCAACCCAUGGCCUGCAUUUGAAACUGUAGUUCUUGAGUGUUGGAGAGGCAGGCGGAAUUCCGUGUGUAGCGGUGAAAUGCGUAGAUAUACGGAGGAACACCAGUGGCGAAGGCGGCCUGCUGGACAAUAACUGACGCUGAGGCGCGAAAGCGUGGGGAGCAAACAGGAUUAGAUACCCCUGUAGUC
rnacentral:rRNA from 1 species